UUGCGCAGUAUGACUCUGCGAACCCCGCCAGGCCCGGGAGCAGUGCAGCAGACCUUAG
rnacentral:SRP_RNA from 14 species